rnacentral:rRNA from 1 species
UACAGAGGCCUCGAGCGUUAGGCGGAAUCACUGGGCUUAAAGCGUGUGUAGGCGGACCCUUAAGUGCCUUGUGAAAUCCCACGGCUCACCCGUGGAACGGCUGGGCAUACUGGGGGUCUUGAGCCACCUAGGGGCUGCCGGAACAAAUGGUGGAGCGGUGAAAUGCGUAGAUAUGACCCGGAACACCUAUUGCGAAGGCAGCAGGCUAAACAAAUAUUGACGCUGAGGCUCGAAAGCGUGGGGAUCAAACAGG